CCUACGGGACGCAGCAGUGGGGGAUAUUGGACAAUGGGGGAAACCCUGAUCCAGCGAUGCCGCGUGAGGGAAGAAGGUUUUCGGAUUGUAAACCUCUGUGGAGGGGGACGAUAAUGACGGUACCCCUUUAGGAAGCCACGGCUAACUACGUGCCAGCAGCCGCGGUAAUACGUAGGUGGCGAGCGUUGUCCGGAAUUACUGGGUGUAAAGGGAGUGUAGGCGGGAAAGCAAGUCAGAAGUGAAAACUAUGGGCUUAACCCAUAGCCUGCUUUUGAAACUGUUUUUCUUGAGUGAAGUAGAGGCAA
rnacentral:rRNA from 1 species